rnacentral:rRNA from 1 species
UUGCGCGGAGACAUUCUGAGUUUUGAGUGGGCUUGAUGCUGGCAUCUUUUUGAUGCAUGUGCUCAGCCCCGCUCUCAAAUCCACUCAACACCUGUGCACUUUCAAAGUUGUAGUCCUCCGUAAUGGGAGUCGCAAGUCUUUUUUGACUUGCUGGGACUGCGCUUUGCCAUUUAUCACAAACGAUAUUCAUUGUUUUGUAGAAUGUCUAGCCUCAUUGUAGGUGAAACUUAAUACAACUUUCAACAACGGAUCUCUUGGCUCUCGCAUCGAUGAAGAACGCAGCGAAAUGCGAUAAGUAAUGUGAAUUGCAGAAUUCAGUGAAUCAUCGAAUCUUUGAACGCACCUUGCGCUCCUUGGUAUUCCGAGGAGCAUGCCUGUUUGAGUGUCGUGAAAUUAUCAACUCCUAUUCUUUAUUGAAUGGUGAGCUUGGAUUUGGAGAUUGCUGGUGAAAAUCGGCUUCUCUUGAAUGAAUUAGCUGGAAUUUGAUUCGCAGCAUAUAUGCGGUGUGAUAAUGUCGUCACUGUGUAGCUCGGAUUGUCUGGCUUCUAAUCGUCUUUCAUGGACAAUUUGAUCAUUUUGACCUCAAAUCAGGUAGGACUACCCGCUGAACUUAAGCAUAUCAAUAAAGCGGAGGAAUUUUUUCACACCC